rnacentral:rRNA from 1 species
CCCCUAGACGUUCUGGGCUGCACGCGCGCUACAAUAAUACGCACAGCGAGUAUCACCGAGCUCGAAAGGGCAAGGUAAACAAUAGAAAAGGUACUGUAAUGGUUAUAGAUCCUUGUAAUUAUUGAUCUUCAACGAGGAAUUCCUAGUAAGUAUGUGUCAUCAUCACGCACUGAUUACGUCCCUGCCCUUUGUACACACCGCCCGUCGCUCCUACCGAUUGGGUGAGCCGAUGAAACUCUCGGAUGUAGGCUAUUCAUAGCCCGCGGAAGAGAUUUGAAUCGUAGCGCUUAGAGGAAGGAGAAGUCGUAACA